NNNNCUUCUCGGCCUUUUGGCUAAGAUCAAGUGUAGUAUCUGUUCUUAUCAGUUGAAUAUAUCCCAUUGUUAUCUAUAUGAAUUCUCUAGUUCAUAUUAUAGAUUCCUACACCAGCUCAGGAAAAACAACUGACCCCUU
rnacentral:snRNA from 1 species